rnacentral:rRNA from 1 species
GAGUAAGACCAAGCGGCGGACGGGUGAGUAACGCGUGGGUAACCUGCCCUAUACACAUGGAUAACAUACUGAAAAGUUUACUAAUACAUGAUAAUAUAUAUUUACGGCAUCGUAGAUAUAUCAAAGUGUUAGCGGUAUAGGAUGGACCCGCGUCUGAUUAGCUAGUUGGUGAGAUAACUGCCCACCAAGGCGACGAUCAGUAGCCGACCUGAGAGGGUGAUCGGCCACAUUGGAACUGAGACACGGUCCAAACUCCUACGGGAGGCAGCAGUGGGGAAUAUUGCACAAUGGGCGCAAGCCUGAUGCAGCAACGCCGCGUGAACGAUGAAGGUCUUCGGAUCGUAAAGUUCUGUUGCAGGGGAAGAUAAUGACGGUACCCUGUGAGGAAGCCCCGACUAACUACGUGCCAGCAGCCGCGGUAAUACGUAGGGGGCUAGCGUUAUCCGGAUUUACUGGGCGUAAAGGGUGCGUAGGUGGUCUUUCAAGUCGGUGGUUAAAGGCUACGGCUCAACCGUAGUUAGCCUCCGAAACUGGAAGACUUGAGUGCAGGAGAGGAAAGUGGAAUUCCCAGUGUAGCGGUGAAAUGCGUAGAUAUUGGGAGGAACACCAGUAGCGAAGGCGGCUUUCUGGACUGCAACUGACACUGAGGCACGAAAGCGUGGGUAGCAAACAGGAUUAGAUACCCUGGUAGUCCACGCUGUAAACGAUGAGUACUAGGUGUCGGGGGUUACCCCCCUCGGUGCCGCAGCUAACGCAUUAAGUACUCCGCCUGGGGAGUACGCACGCAAGUGUGAAACUCAAAGGAAUUGACGGGGACCCGCACAAGUAGCGGAGCAUGUGGUUUAAUUCGAAGCAACGCGAAGAACCUUACCUAAGCUUGACAUCCCUUAGACCGGUGUUUAAUCACACCUUCCCUUCGGGGCUGAGGUGACAGGUGGUGCAUGGUUGUCGUCAGCUCGUGUCGUGAGAUGUUGGGUUAAGUCCCGCAACGAGCGCAACCCUUGUCUUUAGUUGCCAGCAUUCAGUUGGGCACUCUAGAGAGACUGCCAGGGAUAACCUGGAGGAAGGUGGGGAUGACGUCAAAUCAUCAUGCCCCUUAUGCUUAGGGCUACACACGUGCUACAAUGGGUGGUACAGAGGGUUGCCAAACCGUGAGGUGGAGCUAAUCCCUUAAAGCCAUUCUCAGUUCGGAUUGUAGGCUGAAACUCGCCUACAUGAAGCUGGAGUUACUAGUAAUCGCAGAUCAGAAUGCUGCGGUGAAUGCGUUCCCGGGUCU